rnacentral:rRNA from 1 species
UACGUAGGUGGCAAGCGUUAUCCGGAAUUACUGGGCGUAAAGCGCACGCAGGCGGUCUUGUAAGUUUGACGUGAAAGCUCCCGGCUUAACUGGGAGAGGUCGUUUGAAGACUGCAAGACUUGAGGAAAUGAGAGGGGUGUAGAAUUCCCGGUGUAGUGGUGGAAUGCGUAGAUAUCUGGAGGAACACCGGUGGCGAAGGCGGCAUCCUGGACCGGCAUUGACGCUGAGGCGCGAAAGCUAGGGGGAGCAAACGGG